rnacentral:rRNA from 1 species
GCCGGGAGGUCAGCAGAUACAUGCAGUCGAACGAUGAAGCCCAGCUUGCUGGGUGGAUUAGUGGCGAACGGGUGAGUAACACGUGAGUAACCUGCCCUUGACUCUGGGAUAAGCGCUGGAAACGGCGUCUAAUACCGGAUACGACCUGCCCCGGCAUCGGGUGCGGGUGGAAAGUUUUUCGGUCAAGGAUGGACUCGCGGCCUAUCAGCUUGUUGGUGAGGUAAUGGCUCACCAAGGCGACGACGGGUAGCCGGCCUGAGAGGGUGACCGGCCACACUGGGACUGAGACACGGCCCAGACUCCUACGGGAGGCAGCAGUGGGGAAUAUUGCACAAUGGGCGAAAGCCUGAUGCAGCAACGCCGCGUGGGGGAUGACGGCCUUCGGGUUGUAAACCUCUUUUAGUAGGGAAGAAGGACUUCGGUUUGACGGUACCUGCAGAAAAAGCACCGGCUAACUACGUGCCAGCAGCCGCGGUAAUACGUAGGGUGCAAGCGUUGUCCGGAAUUAUUGGGCGUAAAGAGCUCGUAGGCGGUUUGUCGCGUCUGCUGUGAAAACCCGAGGCUCAACCUCGGGCCUGCAGUGGGUACGGGCAGACUAGAGUGCGGUAGGGGAGAAUGGAAUUCCUGGUGUAGCGGUGGAAUGCGCAGAUAUCAGGAGGAACACCGAUGGCGAAGGCAGUUCUCUGGGCCGUUACUGACGCUGAGGAGCGAAAGCGUGGGGAGCGAACAGGAUUAGAUACCCUGGUAGUCCACGCCGUAAACGUUGGGAACUAGAUGUGGGGACCUUUCCACGGUCUCCG